rnacentral:rRNA from 1 species
UCCUACGGGAGGCAGCAGUGGGGAAUAUUGCACAAUGGGCGCAAGCCUGAUGCAGCCAUGCCGCGUGUAUGAAGAAGGCCUUCGGGUUGUAAAGUACUUUCAGCGGGGAGGAAGGCGUUGAGGUUAAUAACCUCAGCGAUUGACGUUACCCGCAGAAGAAGCACCGGCUAACUCCGUGCCAGCAGCCGCGGUAAUACGGAGGGUGCAAGCGUUAAUCGGAAUUACUGGGCGUAAAGCGCACGCAGGCGGUCUG